ensembl:lncRNA
UUUUUUUUGUUGUCAACUAACCCUAAUGGGGUCCAACAACUGCCAGUGACCAAGACAAAUGAAUCCUAAACCUCUGUACCCAUCUGAAAAAAUAUUGUAAUUGUAUGAAGAAGCCAGGAGAUACACGUAUUUCCCUGAUUAUGACAAAUGACUCUUUUCUCUGUAGACAACGAUUAAGGAUAAUGUGGUGAAAGUGUGAGCAGAGAGACUGCUGCGAAUGCUCACACGUUAGCUCAUCGUCAUGAAUCGCCACCGUCUCGUCGUCCGCCCACCAGAGAGGGAAACAAAGGAAGCACAGAGAGUUGGAUCGGGACCAGAGUGUCGUGUUUGCCCGAGGAGACAAACCGCACUGGAGGCUUAUUAUGUGAAGUGAUGGUAACGACCUGGACUGAUUGCGGAGCUGAGAAGACUUCUGAUUCAGGCCAUCGUUUGCAGAACACGACAUCGACCCCUUCAUCUAUCUCUGAUCCGUCCAUCCCGUAUAACGGGUUAAGCUGCAGCCUUUUUAUGUAAUGGUGAACAUCAACCACAGUGAAGGAGAC